AUGAAUUGUUUGAGUUGGAAUAGCCGAGGAGUUGGAAACAAACCGACAGUUCGGGAUUUGGUGGCUUUGGUUGGAGCUAUUAAAUCAAAGAUUGUGUUCCUUUGUGAGACUAGGCGAAGUUCAAAAAAAAUGCGUCGUCUUCGAGGAAGAUUGGGUCUUAGAGGUUUCGCUGGUGUUGAUAGUGUUGGUCUUAGUGGUGGUCUUGCCUUAUUUUGGUGUGAUCAUAUGUAUGUGGACAUCAAGGAUUCAAAUGAAAGAUGCAUUGAUGUGUAUGUGCGUGUGGCUCCUAGUGCUCUGAUGUGGCAUUUGACCUACGUUUAUGGAGAACCACGUACAGAAAACUGUCACCGUAUGUGGUCAACAAUACAAAAUCUGAAGGUGCAGUCCGAUCUCCCGUGGUGUGUUAUAGGGGAUUUCAAUGAAGCCCUAUGGUAUUUCGAACACAUGUCAUCCUCUCCAAGGAAUGAAGUUCAGAUGCAGGCCUUCAGGACGUUCUGGAAACAUGUAAUCUUGUGGACUUCGGGUUCCAGGGUCUUCUAUUGUCAGAGGGAUUGA
rnacentral:rRNA from 1 species